UCCUUCUGUAAACAUAAAAGAGAGAAUACAUUAUCAAAUUCAUCUAAAAGGUAUCCCUGAAAUUAUAACAGAACUGCAUUGAAGACCUUGUCCACAUCCAAGGAGAUCAUGUGAUGAACCUUUCAGAAAGGAAUCAAAUGAAUUGGUUGAGGACAGAUGCACAGAAGAUGUUUUUUUUUUUUUUGUUCAGUAUUUUCCCACUCAAAAAAAGAACUUCGCCAGGAGUCCUACAGCUUAUUUUCUCUAUAUGACCAAAUCACUUCACCUUAUACUGUUUAUGGUUAUCACUAUGGUCAAAGCACAUUAUUCAUCCUUUCUGCACAGUUUCUUUUUCUUUUAACAACACUUUUUAAAUAACUCUUUAGUGACCCUUUGAGAGCUGUAUGCAACGAAAUUUCACUUUAAUGUAUGCCAAUUAAUGUAUAUUUAAAGUGACAAUA